rnacentral:rRNA from 1 species
GACGAACGCUGGCGGCGUGCCUAAUACAUGCAAGUUGAGCGCUGAAGGUUGGUACUUGUACCGACUGGAUGAGCAGCGAACGGGUGAGUAACGCGUGGGGAAUCUGCCUUUGAGCGGGGGACAACAUUUGGAAACGAAUGCUAAUACCGCAUAAAAACUUUAAACACAAGUUUUAAGUUUGAAAGAUGCAAUUGCAUCACUCAAAGAUGAUCCCGCGUUGUAUUAGCUAGUUGGUGAGGUAAAGGCUCACCAAGGCGAUGAUACAUAGCCGACCUGAGAGGGUGAUCGGCCACAUUGGGACUAGGACACGGCCCAAACUCCUACGGGAGGCAGCAGUAGGGAAUCUUCGGCAAUGGACGAAAGUCUGACCGAGCAACGCCGCGUGAGUGAAGAAGGUUUUCGGAUCGUAAAACUCUGUUGGUAGAGAAGAACGUUGGUGAGAGUGGAAAGCUCAUCAAGUGACGGUAACUACCCAGAAAGGGACGGCUAACUACGUGCCAGCCGCCACCGUAA